rnacentral:rRNA from 1 species
GACGAACGCUGGCGGCGUGCCUAAUACAUGCAAGUAGAACGCUGAAGAGAGGAGCUUGCUCUUCUUGGAUGAGUUGCGAACGGGUGAGUAACGCGUAGGUAACCUGCCUUGUAGCGGGGGAUAACUAUUGGAAACGAUAGCUAAUACCGCAUAACAAUGGAUGACUCAUGUCAUUUAUUUGAAAGGGGCAAAUGCUCCACUACAAGAUGGACCUGCGUUGUAUUAGCUAGUAGGUGAGGUAACGGCUCACCUAGGCGACGAUACAUAGCCGACCUGAGAGGGUGAUCGGUCACACUGGGACUGAGACACGGCCCAGACUCCUACGGGAGGCAGCAGUAGGGAAUCUUCGGCAAUGGGGGCAACCCUGACCGAGCAACGCCGCGUGAGUGAAGAAGGUUUUCGGAUCGUAAAGCUCUGUUGUAAGUCAAGAACGAGUGUGAGAGUGGAAAGUUCACACUGUGACGG